CACUCUUCAGUCUUCACGAAUAAUCCAGGCCGAGACUAGGCUUCAGAGUUCAGUCUAAGGUCUUCAUCGUUUUGAGUCACUUCUCUCUCGCGUUCUCACUCUUCACUCUUCAGAGUUCAGUCUUCGCUCGAUCGAAUCCUUCUCUCUCAUGUCUCUCGAUCUCACUGUCACGGUGUCACCAUCUCAUCGAAGGUUCGAAACACUUUGCCCUCUUUGUCUCUCAAGUCUCUCGAUCAUUCCGUUUCCGCCGGUGAGAGGUCGCCGCCCCGGUACUCCUUACGUUCAUCUGCUAGACAGCGUCCAUAUCAACAGUUAUGGGUCAUAUUUUAAUUCCAGCUAUUCCAAAUGGAUGAUCCGGAGGUGAAAAGCACGCAGAUCGCGCAGCGUAAGCGGUAUGAGGAUCGGGAUGCUAUGAAUUCAUCAAAGCACAGUAAAGGAUCACAGUCUAGUGAUGCCAGCAAUGGCGGUUACGAUCCGAUUAGUCAGUGUGCGACAUUGCUCACUGAGCUUUCCCUGAGGCUAGAUCCUCAACAACUUGUUCGUGCAAUUAAAGAAUUACUAAACCCAGAUAUGCGGCAAUUCUUCUUGUCAUUGGAUGCCGUCGGGAGGGAUGAUUGGGCCCGUAAUUGUUAAAGUAUGAUGCAUGAGUUGUAUUUUAUUCUUUAUGGCAUUGUGACUCUAUUUAUUUUCUCAUACCUUUCAUGAGAUGAGUUUUUGGUUUGAUGAGUUUAUGUAUUGUUACUUUUUCCACCAUCGUUGUAUAGACCAUUAAUUUAGAUGAAGUAGAUGAGGGUCUGAUUUUAAGAGCUAAGGCCCUGUUUAGAUUGUGCA